AACGAACGCUGGCGGCAUGCCUAACACAUGCAAGUCGAACGAGACCUUCGGGUCUAGUGGCGCACGGGUGCGUAAUGCGUGGGAACCUGCCCUUAGGUUCGGAAUAACUCCCCGAAAGGGGUGCUAAUACCGGAUAAUGUCUUCGGACCAAAGAUUUAUCGCCUUUGGAUGGGCCCGCGUUGGAUUAGCUAGUUGGUAGGGUAAAAGCCUACCAAGGCGACGAUCCAUAGCUGGUCUGAGAGGAUGAUCAGCCACACUGGGACUGAGACACGGCCCAGACUCCUACGGGAGGCAGCAGUGGGGAAUAUUGGACAAUGGGCGAAAGCCUGAUCCAGCAAUGCCGCGUGAGUGAUGAAGGCCUUAGGGUUGUAAAGCUCUUUUACCCGGGAUGAUAAUGACAGUACCGGGAGAAUAAGCUCCGGCUAACUCCGUG
rnacentral:rRNA from 1 species